AUGGAGAUGGUGAUGGAGUCAAUAGAGAAACUCUCCCCCUCUCCAGUAUGUUCCACUGAAGUCAUGUAGAGUAAACAGGCAUGUUUCACUGCUCAUUCUGUUGCCCAACACCAGGACCAACAGAGCCAGAAAGGAAGAUAUCAGGCCAAAGUGUUUGCAGAUAAUACAAGCUUGAUUGCUUCCUACAUUAUCUGGACCACAGCUUCCUGAAUACAUCUUUAAUUCAGUUAGGAAAAAAUAAAAAGCAAGAAUGGAAAACAAGUUCUCUACAGAAGUAUGAAUGGAAACUUUAAAUAUUCCUGGGCCUCAUUUCAGACUAAAUCAGAAUUUCUGGUCUGGAGCCUGGAAAUCAACAUGUCUACCAAACACUCUAAGGAAUUCUUCCGCAGUACACCUGAGACCAGCCCACAAUGCUAUGCUUGAGAGCCAGACACUUAAAUGAUAGGAAUGUUUUGCCCUUGUCUGCACCAUUAGAUGGCUGGCAGAAAAUACCACAUUCAUUUCUCAUGGCUGAGCUACCUGAAAUUCCAUGGCAUUCCAGGUACUGGAAAAUGGUAGUCAUUUGGAAAAUGGAAAAGAAGUCUCAGUUUCCAAAGGGAUGGGUCAUUUGGAUGAGCAGCGGUCAUGCUUUAUGGAGGUCAGUUUUUAAGAUGUGUCUGAAUUAUUAUGCAUCCAUAUUAUCAUUUGGGCUUGGUUUUAAGAAAAACUGAAAGAGAAGAAAGUAGUUUAUGUUGACCGAUUAUCUUGAAAUUUCUGGUUAUGUGGUCAAUGUUUGAAUCUACUUGAUUUCUGGACAUUAGAGUCAAAAUAACAAAUACACAUUGUCCAUUUAUUCUGUACUGGACACCUCACUAGGGCUUGUCAAACCUAGUCCUUAAAAUAAUUCUAUGAAGAAGUUAUCAUUGUCCCCAGAAGAAGAAACUGAAGCUCAGAAAAGUUAAGCAACUUGCCUUGAGUAACACAGUGUGGGUCUUGACUCGAAGUGAAGAGACUGCCGGGGCCUUGACAAGGGGUAUCACUACCAACUUCCUCGCCAGUCCAGGAUGGGCAGAGGGUGGACCCGGCUGGGGACCAGUCUCCUGAGUCUUCUCCUGUCCCCCUGACCUCUUUGGCCUGCUCCUUCCUGGGCCCAAA